rnacentral:rRNA from 1 species
UACGGGGGGAGCAAGCGUUGUUCGGAUUUACUGGGCGUAAAGGGCGCGUAGGCGGCUUAACAAGUCACUUGUGAAAUCUCCGGGCUUAACUCGGAACGGUCAAGUGAUACUGUCGGACUAGAGUACAGAAGGGGCAACUGGAAUUCUCGGUGUAGCGGUGAAAUGCGUAGAUAUCGAGAGGAACACCUGCGGCGAAGGCGGGUUGCUGGGCUGAUACUGACGCUGAGGCGCGAAAGCCAGGGGAGCGAACGGG